UGCACUAUGAGCAUCAGGUUAGCAAAGGAAGGAGAGGAAAGAGACACCGCGGAAAUAAAAUUUUCAGCGAAAGAAAAUGAGGAGAAAAUAAAUGGCCAACCAGUAGAGAUAAAAGAACAGGAAGAAUGAAAAGAUUUCUUCCUUAAGAAGGCUAAAAUACACCCAGAAGCAGAGAACAAUGUCCGCAGUCAUCAUUGUCACCUGUGAGUUCUACAAAUGAAGGUGUGUGAGAGAACGAACAAGGAAAAUGCAAGGAGGGGAUGUUCAACCGAUCCAUAGGGGACAAAUCCUAAUAUGUGUAUUGUGCACCUGUUCAUGAUCCACCAGAUAACUAGGAUGCGGUGCCCUUUGAAACAUCAUGUACGACCCCGGGCCAUCCACAUGGUCUCCUCCAGCUCAUUGAUCACAGUCUGGACUUUGUCGCUGAACGCCCUCAGAGAGGCGACGCCUUC